UGACAUUUUCUAUCUAUGUGUCUUGACCAAAUCACGUGCCAGCAGUCGCGGUAAUACGUGGAAGACUAGUGUUAUUCAUCUUUAAUUGGUUUAAAGGGUACCUAGACGGUCUAUUAAGCCCCUAAAGGGUACUUACAGACUAGAGUUUGAUGAGAGGGGGGAAGUACGAGAGAGUGUAGAGAUGAAAUUCUGUCAUACCUUACUUGGAACAGGCAACGGCGAAAGCAACUCCUUAUGUAAAAACUGACGUUGAAGGACGAAGGCUUGGGACACCAACAGGAUUAGAUACCCCAGCAGUCCUUGCAGACAAUGAUGAAUGUCAUAGAUUGGAAUUAAAUAUCUUUUUUUUUAAGAUAUCUUUUUGUCUAUAAAUGAAAGUGUAAGCAUUCCACCUCAAGAGUAAUGUGGCAACGCAGAAACUGAAAUCAUUAGACCGUUUCUGAAACCAGUAGUGAAGUAUGUUGUUUAAUUUGGUGGCCCGCAAAACACCUUACCACAAUUUGAAUAUUUUUAUAUUUAUAGAAAUACAAGCGUUGCACGGCUGUCUUCAGUUAAUGUCGUGAGAUUUUGGUUAGUUCCAUAAAAUUAACGUAAACCCUUGCUUUAUUUUUAUUAUAGAGUAGUUCACCGCUAUAUUGGAUACGAUAAAAGGGAUUAAGACAAGUCAAUAUGGCCUUAAUAUUGUGGGCUAUAGACGUG
rnacentral:rRNA from 1 species